AGCAUUAUUACUGCCAUUCCUCAUAUGGCGGGAUAGCACACUGCUGCACCCAAACCCGCCUUAGAGGCGGGUUUU
rnacentral:sRNA from 2 species